rnacentral:misc_RNA from 2 species
AGCAGCCGCGGUAAUUCCAGCUCCAAUAGCGUAUAUUAAAGUUGUUGCAGUUAAAAGCUCGUAGUUGAAUUUUGGGUCUGGCCGGGCGGUCCGCCCUCUGGGUGAGCACUGUUCCGACGCCGGGCCUAUCCUUCUGGUGAGUCGGCAUGUCCUUUAUUGGGUGUGCCGGGGAACCAGGACCAUUACCUUGAAAAAUUAGAGUGUUCAAAGCAGGCGUAUGCUCGGAUACAUUAGCAUGGAAUAAUGAAAUAGGACGCGUGGUGCUAUUUUGUUGGUUUCUAGGACCGCCGUAAUGAUUAAUAGGGAUAGUUGGGGGCAUUAGUAUUCAAUUGUCAGAGGUGAAAUUCUUGGAUUUAUUGAAGACUAACUUCUGCGAAAGCAUUUGCCAAGGAUGUUUUCAUUAAUCAAGAACGAAAGUUAGGGAUCGAAGACGAUCAGAUACCGUCGUAGUCUUAACCAUAAACUAUGCCGACUAGGAAUCGGGCGAUGUUAUCUCAUGACUCGCCCGGCGU